rnacentral:hammerhead_ribozyme from 1 species
AUCUAGCUGACGACUUCUAAAAUAGAACGAAACAUGCGUCCUGGAU